ACAGAUGGGGUAGAACCCCACAGAGUGUUCUAUUUCACAUGUAGAUGGGUGCCUGGCAACCAGGAUGCACCACCAAGGAGGCUGGGCUGAGGAGGAGAACCCAGCCUUUCUAAAGCCAAGGCACACCAGAAUUGAGACUAUUUUGGUAGCACCCUGAGGGUGUUGUACGAGGCCCCUGGAGUGUAGAAGGACCCACUGAGGAUCCAGCAACCCUUGACAGAAUGGCCUAAGUUUAGAUAGGACCAGUGCUCUGUCGUGAAUGGAGUGAGAACCAAAACCUCCAGGGUUAAUGAGAGAGCUCAGAACACUGUAUGCAGAACCAUCACUGGGGUACUGGGCCUGGGUUCUUUAAGAAGGCAGGCUGAGAAAGUCAAGGGGAGUUGCCGAUAAAGACCAUCCCUUCAUGACCUCUGUUUCAGUUCCUGCCUUGAGUUCUUGCCCUGGCUUCUCUCAGUGGUGAAUGUGCAUCCAGCGGUGUGUUUCCACGGGGAUUAUAAAUCCAGUCCAGUUGACAAUAAAGGUUAGCCACCACUCGGCCAUCACACUCCCACUUGGCACUUCCUUCCAUUCUGAGCACACCAGAAUCGUCCUUGGGGCUGAUGGCCCCACGAAACAGAAUUGUUCCAGGGACGAAGCCUUUGAUGGAUUGGCUGCUCUGCUGGCUGCUUUGGUAGAAUGGGUCAUAAAUAUUAACAGGCUGACAAACAUGUCAUGUCACACCUGUGACCAAGAAACACCCAGGCUUCUACCACUUUGUUCUUUUGAUAGACACCAUCUCCUUCUCUCCUGAACUUGCUCUGAUGGGUCUAUUCCUCCACCACCCUCCUCAGAGGACCAGGGUUCAGUUCCCAACACCCCUAUCAGGUGCUGGAAAGAUAGAUGUCACCAAGUCCUCCGGCACCCUUCAUCCUCUGAUGAGGAAAUCAGGUGAGGACACCAGAAUACCUAUUGGUGAUGGAACCUAUAAGGGGAGGAUGAAGGGCAGCUAGCAAGAAAGGGAUUAGGGAAGGACUCCUAGAAUUCUGAAUGAAGAGGAGCCAGCAGCAUUUGUAAAGCAAAGGAAGAGUGUUUCCAGCCACAGGAAGAGGCAAGACAGAGACUCAGAGAUGCAGAGGUUAUUAUUAAAAAAUAAUAAUAAAUUAAAAAAAAAAGCUGCAGCAAGAAUCCACAUUCCAGAGAUGAUGACUUAAAGCACACAUACAAGCCAGCAGUGGGGAAGAUGAUGUCACAGUACUUGCCCUUCCCAUAUGCGGACCAGUGUCUAGAACCUAUCUCAAUGCUGGAUGGGCAUGGCAGCAUGCCUAUAAUUGCGACCUUGGAGAUGGAGAUGAAAGAUUUCCCAGAGCAGGUUGGUGA
rnacentral:lncRNA from 1 species